UACGUAGGGUGCGAGCGUUAAUCGGAAUUACUGGGCGUAAAGCGUGCGCAGGCGGUUAUGCAAGAAAGAUGUGAAAUCCCCGGGCUUAACCUGGGAACUGCAUUUGUGACUGCAUAGCUGGAGUGCGGCAGAGGGGGAUGGAAUUCCGCGUGUAGCAGUGAAAUGCGUAGAUAUGCGGAGGAACACCGAUGGCGAAGGCAAUCCCCUGGGCCUGCACUGACGCUCAUGCACGAAAGCGUGGGGAGCAAACAGG
rnacentral:rRNA from 1 species